rnacentral:misc_RNA from 1 species
GGAGAAGAUGUUGGAGAAAACUUUUGGUGAUUUUCUGUUUGCAUCUCUUCCUAAUGAAAGUAGGACAUGCCCAAGCUGUCUUCAGGGAACUUUAAUCUUCAAAGUGAGCAGGUUUGGUGCAGGCUACUUUAUAGGUUGUGACCAACACCCAAAAUGCAAGUAUAUUGCCAAGACAUUAUAUGGUGAAGAGGAUGAAGAUAUCUCCUCUGAAGACACUAAAAGAAGUGUAGAACCGCCAAAAUUGCUGGGUGUCCAUCCUUCUUCAAAUGAGAAGAUUCUUAUGAAGAAUGGUCCAUAUGGAUACUAUGUUCAGCUUGGAGAAGACAAGAAAGGAUACGUUCCCAAGCGGGCUUCGCUUUCACAGGU